UGUAUGUAAUGAUAUUCGUGGAACAUUUACAAGCAAAACAUAAACUCAUAGGAAUAGUCUUAAUUCAAACAGAUCUAAAACACAAUCCUUAAUGCUCAUCUGGCUAACAGGCCUUCCAGUUAGACCUCUGGCAUGAAGCCUGAAUCAGAACUAUUACUGCAAGUCUAUGUAUUGUGACCUUAAUAUCAUUUGGAUGAUUUGAUUCUUAUUUUAAUAACAUAUGCGAUUUCAUACAUGUAUAUAAUCUGUCAUAGUUCAACGCAAAGAGUUUAGCCUAUCAUAGGCUAAUGAAUAAGUAAAGUAAAAAUAAAAUUAAAAUAUAAAAAUAAAUCUAAAUUAACCUUAAGACAGAUGGAUAGUGCUCAGAAGCAAAGAAUUUUUUUAUUUCACAUUCAGAAUUUUUUACAAGAGAGAGAGUAUUCU
rnacentral:lncRNA from 1 species